rnacentral:misc_RNA from 1 species
AACCGCCGUAUACGGACCCGUAUGUACGGUGGUGUGGGAGGAGGCUGAUCGUGAGAUCAGCCCCUAUCCCGAU